rnacentral:rRNA from 1 species
ACUCCUACGGGAGGCAGCAGUGGGGAAUAUUGCACAAUGGGCGCAAGCCUGAUGCAGCCAUGCCGCGUGUAUGAAGAAGGCCUUCGGGUUGUAAAGUACUUUCAGCAGUGAGGAAGGCAGGUACGUUAAUAGCGUGCUUGUUUGACGUUAGCUGCAGAAGAAGCACCGGCUAACUCCGUGCCAGCAGCCGCGGUAAUACGGAGGGUGCGAGCGUUAAUCGGAAUUACUGGGCGUAAAGCGCAUGCAGGUGGUUGUUAAGUCAGAUGUGAAAGCCCGGGGCUCAACCUCGGAAUUGCAUUUGAAACUGGCAGACUAGAGUACUGGUAGAGGGGGUUAGAAUUUCAGGUGUAGCGGUGAAAUGCGUAGAGAUCUGAAGGAUACCGGUGGCGAAGGCGGCCCCUGGACAGAUACUGACACUCAGAUGCGAAAGCGUGGGAGCAAACAGGAUUAGA